rnacentral:rRNA from 1 species
CCUACGGGCGGCAGCAGUGGGGAAUAUUGCACAAUGGGCGAAAGCCUGAUGCAGCAACGCCGCGUGAGUGAUGAAGGCCUUCGGGUCGUAAAGCUCUGUCCUCAAAGAAGAGAAUGACGGUACUUGAGGAGGAAGCCACGGCUAACUACGUGCCAGCAGCCGCGGUAAUACGUAGGGGGCUAGCGUUAUCCGGAAUGACUGGGCGUAAAGGGUGCGUAGGUGGUUUCUUAAGUCAGAGGUGAAAGGCUACGGCUCAACCGUAGUAAGCCUUUGAAACUGGGAAACUUGAGUGCAGGAGAGGCGAGUGGAAUUCCUAGUGUAUCGGUUAACUGCGUAGAUAUUAGGAGGUACCCCAGUUGCGCAGGCGGCUCUCUGGACUGUAACUGCCACUGAGGCACGACAGCGUGGGGAGCAAACCGGAUUAGAUACCCUGGUAGUC